rnacentral:rRNA from 1 species
UAAAAAGCUCGUAGUUGGAUUUCUGGGCUGAGCGACCGGUCCGCCGCUGUGCGGUGUGUACUCGUGUUCGACUCGGCUCAUCCUUGUGGGGAAACGCAUUACGGCAUUAGGUUGUCGUGGCGGGGAACCGCAUCGUUUACUGUGAAAAAAUUAGAGUGUUUAAAGCAGGCAAAUUGCUGUGAAUACAUUAGCAUGGAAUAAUAACAUAGGACUUUGGUUCUAUUUUGUUGGUUGGAGGCCAAGGUAAUGAUUAAUAGGGAUAGUUGGGGGUAUUCAUAUUUAAUUGUCAGAGGUGAAAUUCUUGGAUUUAUGAAAGAUGAACUCAUGCGAAAGCAUUUACCAAGGAUGUUUUCAUUAAUCAAGAACGAAAGUUAGGGGAUCGAAGAGGAUUAGAUACCCUCGUAGUCUUAACCAUAAACUAUGCCGACUAGGGAUUGGAGGAGUAUUUUUAAUGGCUCCUUCAGCACCUUACGAGAAAUCAAAGUCUUUGGGUUCCGGGGGGAGUAUGGUCGCAAGGCUGAAACUUAAAGGAAUUGACGGAAGGGCACCACCAGGAGUGGAGCCUGC